rnacentral:snRNA from 1 species
GGAAGUAUGGGCAAUCUGGCUGUGACAUCUGUCACCCUAUUGAUUGCCAGGGUUGAUUCAGCUGAUCUGGCUGGGUAGGUGGGUGUACCCUUCCUUCCUCACUGCUCCACGUAUGUCCAACAGGAAGCUGUGUGCUCUGUUGAAGAGGAUGAACUUCUCUGACAGAAGAGGACCAUUCUUCAGUCAAGGGUGUGCAAGUAGCGGGGUGCCUGGGUGGCUGAGUCAUUAAGCAUCUGCCUUCGGCUCAGGUCAUGAUCUCAGGAUACCGGGAU